ensembl:misc_RNA Metazoa_SRP Metazoan signal recognition particle RNA
GCUGGGCAUGGUGGCGCAUGCCUGUAAUCCCAGCUACUUGGGAGGCUGAGGCAGGAGAAUUGCUUGAGCCCGUGAGGCGGAGGUUGCAGUGAGCCGAGAUUGAGCCACUGUACUCCAGCCUGGGUGACAGAGUGAGACUCUGUCUCAA